rnacentral:hammerhead_ribozyme from 1 species
AUUCAGCUGAGGAGUCCCAAAUAGGACGAAACGCGCAUCCUGGAU